UUCUACAGCGCGAACAGAAUGCAUUAGUUCGCAUUCGCUGGGGAAGCCUCGGGAGCUACUGCCACAGCUUUCUUGUGUAGAGGAGCACCUUCCACGUCGCUUACAAGUUUUCUUGGGGCCACCUUGUCAGGAGCAGAAUGAGACACCAGCAGAGCGCCCUGAAAUUUCUUCUGCGCUGCAGCGUUGCAGCUGGCAUUAUCGUCUGCCUCUCAACAGGUUUUGAACUACUUCUUGAAAGAGCAGAUUCUGGAGCUGAGAAAAACGCUCAAGUGGGUUCAACAGGGCAAGUAUACGUGGACUGCCUAAGCAAGAAUGGUACGCCAAUUAACGAUGGAGGGAAAUGUGCCUUGAUGGUUGUCUUCGAAGAAAGGAAAGAGAACGUUAAACAGACGUGUAUGGAAGGAGUUUGCAGGAAUGGCACCUGUACCAACAUCAAUAAAACCGACUGCUCUAAUAACAAAUGAAAACAAACGGCGCGAAGGAGUCCAGUACGCCAUUUCAAUAAAAGCUCUUGUAAGGGCGUUGUUGUGUUUACUGAA